UGGGGAAUAUUGGGCAAUGGAGGAAACUCUGACCCAGCAACGCCGCGUGAGCGAAGAAGGUCUUCGGAUUGUAAAGCUCUGUUUCGAGGGACGAACACAAUGACGGUACCUCGGGAGGAAGCCCCUGCUAACUACGUGCCAGCAGCAGCGGUAAUACGUAGGGGGCAAGCGUUGUCCGGAAUGACUGGGCGUAAAGGGUGCGUAGGUUGUUAACUAAGUCAGUAGUGAAAUCCCGAGGCUCAACUUCGGAACUACUACUGAAACUAUUUAGCUAGAGUGCAGGAGGGGCAAAUGGAAUUCCUAGUGUAGCGGUGGAAUGCGUAGAUAUUAGGAGGAACACCAGUGGCGAAGGCGAUUUGCUGGACUGUAACUGACACUGAGGCACGAAAGCGUGGGGAGCAAACA
rnacentral:rRNA from 1 species